AUGGUUUUCGAAGACGAAAGCAGUGAGGAGACGUCCAGCCUGCCGUACAUGCACUCGACCUCAUCUACGGACGGGCUUAACCAGGUCCCUUUCAGCGUUGAAGAUCCAGAUUACCAGGGGCUUGAGCUGGAAACGAUGUCGUCAUGUGAGAAGCACGGGAAGGCAUUUGAGAGGCUUGUCGCAUUUGAAGGAACAGACACAGGGAGAAGGUUCUUAGCAUGUGCAGAGCCGGAAGGGCAAAAUUGUGGGUUUGUUGAAUGA
rnacentral:rRNA from 1 species